rnacentral:rRNA from 1 species
CCUACGGGUGGCAGCAGUGAGGAAUAUUGGUCAAUGGGCGAGAGCCUGAACCAGCCAAGUAGCGUGAAGGAUGAAGGCUCUAUGGUUUGUAAACUUCUUUUAUAUAGGAAUAAAGUGAGGCACGUGUUCCUUUUUGUAUGUACCAUAUGAAUAAGCAUCGGCUAACUCCGUGCCAGCAGCCGCGGUAAUACGGAGGAUGCGAGCGUUAUCCGGAUUUAUUGGGUUUAAAGGGUGCGUAGGUGGUUCAUUAAGUCAGCGGUGAAAGUUUGUGGCUCAACCAUAAAAUUGCCGUUGAAACUGGUAGACUUGAGUACAGUUGAGGUAGGCGGAAUGCGUGGUGUAGCGGUGAAAUGCAUAGAUAUCACGCAGAACUCCGAUUGCGAAGGCAGCUUACUAAACUAUAACUGACAUUGAAGCACGAAAGCGUGGGGAUCAAACAGGAUUAGAUACCCUUGUAGUC